ensembl:lncRNA
AGAAAGCAAACAAAAAUCUUUAUCAUUUCACAGAUCCAUGGUUUGGCUGAUGCAAAUGUAGGGUUGGACAGGGAGUUGCUGCAGCAAGACCCCACCUGGGCAGAGAGCCAGACCUCCCUUACGCUGCUCCUGUUGCCUGUGGAAUUGCAACAAUAGGAUCACAGCUGAACAGCAUCCUCUCCAAACAGGGACCCCUUGCUGCAUAACAAGCCCACAUAUCUUCUUUCAGUAGUGAAAAGAAGUGAGGGGACUGACAGAGUUGUGCCUGCCUGGAUUCUUGUGCAGCACAAAGCACUUGCCAUAUGUUGCAUCGUCAGAAGAGGAGUCUCAGGGAUUCACACACUUGGACUUUACUGAAUCAGGCUGCAUCUGCCAAACAACCUAGUCUGCAUUUUGGUUAGCUGGAGAUCAACCAGGAUUUUUCUGAUUAAAUCUUCUUCUGAAAAAAAGAAUGCAUGGCAUAGAAAGAAGGUCUAAGUGCUUGUCUGAGACUAUUCUACCGAACCUGGGAUAAAUGUUGCUUCUCAAAGGUAAGUGCUAUUUUCUUCUUAUAUGGUAUAUAAACUAUAUAGCUAUAUU